rnacentral:lncRNA from 1 species
UUAAAACGGAAACUAACACCCCGAUAAUUGAAAGGAAUCCUAUCAAAGAUUACCAAUUGGUUAGGGAUAGAGAAAGAAGGCAAAUUAAACCAAAUUCAAGGUACGAGUCUAAGAACUUGACUAAUUUUGCCUUAGUUUCAAGUGAAGGCCUUGAACAUUCAGAAUCUGAUUCUUUCCAAGAAGCUAUGAAUGGGCCUAAAUUUGUUAAUUGGAGAAUGGCAAUGAAGGAAGAAAUGCAAUCCUUAAUUGAAAAUAAGACUUGGAGUUUGGUUAAUUUGCCUAAUGUCGAAGAACUUUACAAUGUAAGUGGAUUUACAAACUAAAAGAAGGGAUUGACCGUAUUGAGAUAUUUUCCUUUAUUAUUCAAUAUAAAACAAUAAUUAGAUUGAUUUUAGCAUUAGUUGUUCAAGUCAUUUGGGAAUUUGAAUCAUUAGAUAUUAAAACUGCUUUCCUACAUUGAGAAUUGGAGGAAAACACCCAUAUGAGUCCACCCUUAGGCUUUGAGGUGAAGAAAGACUUCGUAUGUAAAUUGAAGAGGUUUGCUAGGUUGAUCAUUAAAGGAUCUGUGGAUGUUGACUUUGUGGCUGACAAAGAUCAUAGGAAAUCCAUGAUUACCUUCCCUUUAUUUUAUUUUUUUAUUUAUUAUUAUUAUUAUUAUUAUUUUUACAUUGGGGAAUAACUGUAUAAAUUUGAAAACUGUGAAAGAAUGCAUUUAUUUGAAAAUCAUUUUGUGUGAUUUGAAUUUUCUGCAUGAUACUCUUAUUACUCUUAUAGUUAGCCAAAUUGCAUUGUUGCUUGUUAUGAAUCUUGUCCGUCAUGAGAGGUAAACAUAUGACAAGGUGAAGUAUCAUUUUCUAAAAGAUAAGACAGCUUCAG